GGCCAUGGAACUUCCCUGCAGCUGGGAUAUAGCUGUCCUGUUCAGCUGUUUUUGAAAACCCAAAUCAUUCCAGUGUCUUAUUCCCCCUGUGACUCUUGGACUCCUUGCUCCCUUGCAAGGCAGGUCCUAUCAUCUAUACAACACCUUGCUAAUUGCCAGAAGAAUGGAGAUCUGCUUAAUGAAUCAUAGAUUUAGAGCAAAGACACUGCUAGAGGCCUUCUAGUCCAAGUCCGUCAUUUUACAAAUGAGGAAAGAGCUGACAAUCCAAGGUAGGAUUCGAAACUAGAUUUUCCUGGCUCCAGCUCCAAUGCUCUAUUUAUUAUGGUGUGCUGUUC
rnacentral:lncRNA from 1 species